AUUGAACGCUGGCGGCAUGCCUUACACAUGCAAGUCGAACGGCAGCACGGGAGCAAUCCUGGUGGCGAGUGGCGAACGGGUGAGUAAAGUAUCGGAACGUGCCCAGUCGUGGGGGAUAACGUAGCGAAAGUUACGCUAAUACCGCAUACGAUCUAUGGAUGAAAGCGGGGGAUCGCAAGACCUCGCGCGAUUGGAGCGGCCGAUAUCAGAUUAGGUAGUUGGUGGGGUAAAGGCUCACCAAGCCGACGAUCUGUAGCUGGUCUGAGAGGACGACCGGCAACACGGGGACUGAGACACGGCCCAGACUCCAACGGGAGGCAGCAGUGGGGAAUUUUGGACAAUGGGCGAAAGCCUGAUCCAGCCAUGCCGCGUGCAGGAUGAAGGCCUUCGGGUUGUAAACUGCUUUUGUACGGAACGAAAAGGUUUGGCCUAAUAAGCUGAGCUCAUGACGGUACCGUAGGAAUAAGCACCGGCUAACUACGUGCCAGCCGCCGCCGUAA
rnacentral:rRNA from 1 species